rnacentral:rRNA from 1 species
AUUGAACGCUGGCGGCAGGCCUAACACAUGCAAGUCGAGCGAGCGGCGGACGGGUGAGUAAUGUAUGGGGACUGCCCGAUAGAGGGGGAUAACUACUGGAAACGGUGGCUAAUACCGCAUACUAUCGGAUAACCCAUAUGGGAUUAGCUAGUAGGGGGGGUAAAGGCUCCCCUAGGCGACGAUCUCUAGCUGGUCUGAGAGGCUGAUCAGGCACACGGAGACUGAGACAAGGCCCAGACUCCAAGGGAGGCCGCGGUGGGGAAUAUUGGACAAUGGGCGCAAGCCUGAGGCAUCCAUGGCGCGUGUAUGAAGAAGGCCUUAGGGUUGUAAAGUACUUUCAGCGGGGAGGCGUUGCCCGCAGAAGAGGCGCCGGCUAACUCCGUGCCAGCCGCCGCGGUAAUUC